UUUAUACUGUGAACUGCGAAUGGCUCAUUAAAUCAGUUAUCGUUUAUUUGAUAGUACCUUGCUACAUGGAUACCUGUGGUAAUUCUAGAGCUAAUACAUGCUAAAAACCCCGACUUCAGGAAGGGGUGUAUUUAUUAGAUAAAAAACCAACGCCCUUCGGGGCUCCUUGGUGAAUCAUAAUAACUUAACGAAUCGCAUGGCCUUGCGCCGGCGAUGGUUCAUUCAAAUUUCUGCCCUAUCAACUUUCGAUGGUAGGAUAGUGGCCUACCAUGGUGGCAACGGGUAACGGGGAAUUAGGGUUCGAUUCCGGAGAGGGAGCCUGAGAAACGGCUACCACAUCCAAGGAAGGCAGCAGGCGCGCAAAUUACCCAAUCCCGAUACGGGGAGGUAGUGACAAUAAAUACUGAUACGGGGCUCUUUUGGGUCUCG
rnacentral:rRNA from 1 species